UGUCAUCUUUUUUAUCAACGAUUUCAUCAGUUUUCUUCGACCUGCGUAAUCAUUGCCUAGGCCUCAAUUACAUUCAUGAUUGAUCAGUCAUGACACCCGAUUGAGAUUAAUUCAUUGGUGUUCAUUGACUCAUCAUCAUCAGCAUUGACGCUGUUAGGCCUAACAGCUAUAAUAAAGUUCCCCUUAUUAUGAUGUUGGUAUACAACAACUGUUUCCAUGAGAGGUGAUAAGCUAGCAUGGUAAGUUACUAAUAUUUGAGAUGAGACAUUUCAAACAUCAGUUUUGUUGUUGAUUGCCUCCUUUCUCUUUACAGUGAGUUUUGGGUUAUAUUUUUCAUCAAAAAUGUGGUUUUGAAUGCCUUGGCCAGCCUUGGCCUCAAUCAGCAGAAGAAAAAUGAUCCUUUAGCUUUGUGAUUUUAUUCUUUCCUAAAUUAUAAUGUUGAAAUGCAAUAAUUGUUUCCUUAAGAGAGUGCUUGCCAGGAUGUCUUUACUCUUGCCAAACAUUUUGGAUCUUAAAUGCCUGCUCUUCAUAUAAUCAAUCAGGCAAAAGCAAAUGAUCUAUAAGACAUAGACUGAAUGGAUUGCUGGCUGGCAAGGGAGGCGGACAAGAAGACAGGCUCGCUGGUACCUACGCAGUUGUGUGAUCACACACAUUUUGAAAGUAGGAGAGGGAAGUGGUAGCAAAGCAAAAGCAGUUUUUAUCUUACAUCAUACAAACCAAUCAAGUAUGUUCCAGUCAAAGUGUUGUGCCAUUACAUAAAAGCUCUCAAGAGUGAUUUGCCUUUUGAAAAAAGUGCUUCUGUUGUAAAUGCAGAAAGGUUGUCCUGCAGAUAUUGGCAUGGUGCAAGCAAACCUUAAUCAAUGACAUUGGCUUCAAAGUUUCUGAAUUUAUUCAGUCAAAGGUUUUAACCACAAGCGAAUUGUUGAAAGCAAAACUGUGGGCAAGGACACUUCUAUUAAAAUGGACGGACAUGUUACUUAGGGGCACAAUUGUCAUGUUUUAUGACACACUGCAGCUAGGUGUGUACGUUUGGUUCCAACACAUCCCAUUCAAGAAAUGGACACAAUCCCGACGUACUAAACUGGAGAGACUUUCUUUGAAGACCGUCAGGCAGGCAGGCAGGCAGGCAGGCAGGCAGUGCAAGAAGUACACAAGCAAGCAGUGUGGAACAUCCAACAAAGAAAACAAAAGCAUUCAAGUCAAUGCAUGGUGCAAAUAUAAGCUGAAAAGCUCUUGAAAAUCUUGAUGAUGGUUUUUCUUAAGUGCCCUGCGAGACUUCCUGAGUCAUCUGAAGUUACAAUGUCCCUCACAUCCCUGCACAUUCAUCUUGUCGUCGUCUUUGGAACAUUUCUACGUUUCAUCCGAGAAGUACAGCAGUGGAAUAGGUCAGGCAGAGGACAUUACAAAUAGGUGAAUUAGGAACACUUCAAAUGUUAACUUGCAUGUCUUGUGUUCUCAGUGCAUUCUAGCAAUGUUCCGGAGUCGAUCGUACUUUAAUUUAAUGCAUGUAUUUUUGUCGGGCAAUCGAUUGGUGUUUAAACGCAUGCUCAUUUUCCAUCCCGUAGUGCAUGCCAAUAUUCAUUGGAUGCUGGGCUGCGAAGGUCUCCAGCCCCUCCGUAGGAUAUCAUGGAAAUAACGGAAACUUUCCGUACACAGACUGUCUGUAGUGUUGCUGUACCAUAGUACGGAAGUGGGUACAGAAUUCCUGUACCUUCACUGUACUAAGGUGGGAAAAGUACAAACCUUCCGGGUAGUUAAUUGACCUAACAUUUUCCGUGGUCUUUUCCGUGUUUUUUUCUAACCUAUCCAUUUAAGAAACCUGUUUUGUAUUGGAGGCUGUGAUGAUUUCUUUGUGAUUGUGGGCCAUUUUCAAAUGUUACUUCUUAGCUCCGUGUAACUGCCUCUAUUAUUAUUUUUUCAAGUAUUUGUAUUGUCACUAUCGAGUCCUAGUUCUGUUGUUCCUGCAUUCCUGUUAUUGAUUGCAUAAAUUCUUCGUUUCUCUCACUGA